UCUCCGUUGGUGAACCAGCGGAGGGAUCAUUACCGAGUUUACAACUCCCAAACCCCUGUGAACAUACCAUUUGUUGCCUCGGCGGUGCCUGCUUCGGCAGCCCGCCAGAGGACCCAAACCCUUGAUUUUAUACAGUAUCUUCUGAGUAAAUGGUUAAAUAAAUCUAAACUUUCAACAACGGAUCUCUUGGUUCUG
rnacentral:misc_RNA from 1 species